rnacentral:lncRNA from 1 species
CUGAGGUGAGCCAGAGGCAUUCUUUCCAUAGCCUCUUCCUCAGAAGAGAGGCAGAAGCACUCACUGGCUUUCGCGGUGCUGGCCUGGGUUUUAAUACCAAUCUAGCCUCUCAGUGAUUGAGCCAAGGUUACUUUGGUCAUGGUGUUUCAUUGAAGCAAUAGUAAAUCUAAGACAACAUCUCAUGGUCCUGUCAUCUCCAGCAUCUAGGAGGUCUUCAUUGUAACUCAGGCUUUACCUGUAGUGUUUCAUAAAAUGGCCUCUCAGGACUUUCUGGAAAGUCUCACACAACAUCCUGCCAUGCUGUUCUGUGGGGCUACAGAGACAAGCAAUAGGGCCAAUCAACUGUGGGCCGAGGCAUCGGAAAUUGGGAAACCAAAUAAAUUCUUCUUCCUCUUAGCUGGGUUAUCUCAGACAUUUGUCAUAGUGACAGACACUACCCACGCAGAGACGCAGAAACAUCGAGAAACAAAACUCCCAUCUUUCUAGAAAAGGAAGUGAGGAAAAGGGAAGAAAAUUGCUCAGACCUCCUCUCCUGUCCCCAAUUAAAAUUUUGGAAUGCACUCCCUCCAUGCUGC